rnacentral:lncRNA from 10 species
AACAGGAUGGGGGCCACAGGGACAAGCUCUGAAAAUGCUGGAGUGUCUGUAAUCCAAAGGGUGGUGAGAAGCGCAAAGAGAAGCUAAGUGACUUCAAGGAUCAGCAUAGCCAGUGACUUCAGCAGCAAGGACUCACAUGACUCAGAGCAGGAAGAGGUUGUGAGGACCCUGGGAGAUGGCACUUAUUGGACAAAUAGUACUUACAUUUUAUCACUCUCUUUAACUCCCUCCAAAGCUCCUCUAGAAGAAUGAAGAAAAGCUGGGUGUGGUGGCGCGUGCCUGUUGUCCCAGCUACUUGGGAGGCUGAGGCAGGAGGACCACUUGAGCCCAGGAGUUCUGGGCAGUAGUGCGCUGUGCCGAUCUGGUGUCUGCAUUAACUUUGGCAUCGAUAUAGUGACCUCCCAGGAGCAGAAGACCAGCAGGUUGCCUAAGGAGGGGUGAACCAGCCCCAGUCAGAAACAGAGCAGAUCAAAACUCCUGUACUGAUCAGUAGUGGGAUCACGCCUGUGAAUAGCCUGGGUAACAUAGCCACG